AAAGACGUGGAAAGACGUCUUUUGAAAAGACGUCUUCAAAAAAGAGGUCAAAAAGACGUCAAUCGGUUGUUAAUAAGGAAAUCAUUAUUUGCUUAAGAAAAUUAAAAAUAAUUAUUGCCAAUAGAACCUAACAAAAAUGGGUUUUGACCCACAGUAUCGUAAUUACGAUAUCUUUGUUACGUUCUGAUUCUGUUUACAAAAUUCUUUUAUAUAACUUUUAUGUGAAACGUUUUUGCUUAGGAAAUUUAAUUAAAAAUUAACUUUUUUCGACUGUUUACCGUUUAAAUCCUGUCCCAAUCUAACGUAGUGAGUUCAAAAAGAAGGGACCGCGCUGGAAACAUGAGUGGAUUAAAAGGAUCAACCCUUUUUGAAUUAAUAGUCGAAGUGGUAACCAGCUAGAAGUCAUAACCUGCUCGUAUGAAAAGGAUUUCUCGACGUGAAAUUGUUAAUUUUAUUCAAAAACGCCAAGAAACAGAGCUCGGUCAAGAAACAGAAAAGGAAGAGAAAGAUGAAAAAAUAUUCUGUUGAACAAUACUAUUGUUUUAUUUAUAAAUUA